rfam:Dipodomys ordii contig_22764, whole genome shotgun sequence.
UGGUAUGUAGCUCAGUGGCAAAGCACUUGCCUAGCAAGUGCAAUGUCCUGGGUUUGAUCCCCAGUACCAA